rnacentral:rRNA from 1 species
GUCUACAGCCACUCCACCCUGAAUGUGCCUAGUCUCGCCCGAUCUCGGAAGCCAAAGGGGUUGGGCCUGGGGAGUAGCGGGUGCUAUAGGCU